rnacentral:lncRNA from 1 species
UGGUGGUAUUUGGGUCCCAUUUAAGGACAAUGUUUUGACUGGUGUUCUGUUAGUUUAUAAGUUAAUUAAAAUAUUGGAUAAAAAUAAACCUCAAGAAAUAAGUGCAAGUCUUUUAAAUUAUUGGAUAUAAAUGUAAUUCACCCUACUCUUAAAGAGAUUUUUGUAGUUUACUCAAGAAAUGAUAGCUGUUUACCCAGAUAUUGGAUAAAAAUAUGAUGGU